rnacentral:rRNA from 1 species
UACGUAGGGUGCGAGCGUUGUCCGGAAUUAUUGGGCGUAAAGAGCUCGUAGGCGGUUCGUCGCGUCGAAUGUGAAAACCCGGGGCUCAACUCCGGGCCUGCAUUCGAUACGGGCGGACUAGAGUUCGGUAGGGGAGACUGGAAUUCCUGGUGUAGCGGUGAAAUGCGUAGAUAUCGGGAGGAACACCAGUGGCGAAGGCGACUACCUGGCCUGUUCUUGACGCUGAGGCGCGAAAGCUAGGGGAGCAAACGGG